rnacentral:rRNA from 1 species
CAGUCGCCACAGUAAUACGUAGGUCCCGAGCGUUGUCCGGAUUUAUUGGGCGUAAAGCGAGCGCAGGCGGAUUGAUAAGUCUGAAGUUAAAGGCUGUGGCUUAACCAUAGUACGCUUUGGAAACUGUUUAACCUGAGUGCAAGAGGGGAGAGUGGAAUUCCAUGUGUAGCGGUGAAAUGCGUAGAUAUAUGGAGGAACACCAGUGGCGAAAGCGGCUCUCUGGCUUGUAACUGACGCUGAGGCUCGAAAGCGUGGGGAGCAAACAGGAUUAGAUACCCCAGAGUCCCUGUCUCUUAUACAC